UUCAAUGGCGGGCUUAUCAGGGCAGCGUUCGGCGCUGGCUGCAUCCACUUCGCAGUUUUCGACCCCUUUUAAGCCCGUCUCCAGU
rnacentral:antisense_RNA from 1 species